GUCUGAUAUGCAAGUCCAGAGCUCAGAGUAGGGGAUUCAGGAGUUAAAAAAAUAUAUAUUUGGGGAUCAACAUUGUUAAGAUGGUAUUUAUAUACGAAGAAGAUGUUUUGCAUGUUGGAACUAGUCAACAUCACCAAGGGAGAGAGAAUAGAUGGAGAAGAGAAGAGGUCCCAGGAUAGAACCCCGGGCAAUUCAACAGCAGCAGGAAGCAGCAAAAGAGACUAAGAAGAAAACGACUGGUGAAGAAGGAGGCAAACCAAGAGAUUGAGGAGUUAAGAAGUCAAAAGAAAGGUUCAAGAAAUGAGCAUUAAAUGCUGCUGAGUAGGGGCACCUGGGUGGCUCAGCUGGUUCAGCCUCCGACUCUGGAUCUCAGCUCAGUGUACGUGACAACCUGCUGCAGUGGAUUGGGGCAAGAUUGGAAGCUACCAUUACCGAACCUUUACCAUGAACCAGACACUAUGUAAGCUACACAAUCUCCACCACAACCCCGGGAGGCCUGCUGGAGCUGCAACCCCUCCCUGCUAGAUCACACUGAGAUCCUAGAAGAGCCAAAGGGAGGCCCCCUGUUUCCUCAGGGACUUGAGGUAUUUUCAUGAAUGGACAUCUUGUGGGUCAGGUAUGUGGGAAUUCAGCAAAUUCACAGUGGAAGCCACCUAGUGGCUCCCUAUUGACCACCCUAGUCUUCCCCAGGGUUCUGAGAGCAUCUGGCAGUAAGAGGAGGAUGUGACUUGAGACGCCGUGGGAAGUACCGUAUAGCCCUCCCCCA